AAACUGGUCAGGAGCCUUCUGGUUUAUCAGUCAUACUUGCAAAGGUCAAAUGUGCAAAGCAUCAGAAGACAGUGGUUAGAGUGAGAUUCUACACGCUCUCAAUGAGGAAUAAAGACUGUUGAAGAUCUCAGACUCACGAAGAUGUCAGACUCUCAAUCCCUCCUGGAUCUUGAAAGGUAAGAAACCUACCUGGGGCAAGGGGGGGUGGGGAGGUUGGCU
rnacentral:lncRNA from 1 species